rnacentral:lncRNA from 10 species
UAAUGCUAGAUGACGAGUUAGUGGGUGUAAUGCACCAGCAUGGCACAUGUAUACAUAUGUAACUAACCUGCACAAUGUGCACAUGUAGAGUAUAAUAAAAAAAAAAGGCAAAACCAUAUUAGAAAAACAGAAAAGAAAAAGAAAAAAAAAAAAAAAGACUUAAAAUCUCUCUUGGGGCCAGAUACAGAAAGCAUUUUCCUCACCUGUUUUCUUUUCAAAACAGUAGAAAAACUGUUUUUAAAGAAGGGCAAUUAAAGUAGACUAGCCCUGAAUGAUUUUUCUAAUUGUUACAGAAAAUCUGAUGGUUUUCUUACCUUGAAGUCAUGUGUACUAGGUCUUCCAAUUCUCUCUGAAGGGGAAGCCACAUGGCUUCCUAGAUCCUUAAGAAAGGAUAACCCUUAUUGAUAAGCCUCUGUUUAUGACAUGACUUGCCCAGGGUCACACAGAAAGGCAGCAGUAGAGACAAAAAUUACAUACAGAUUGCCUGUCUCGCAGUUUCCCUUCCCUGUUGUUGGAGGAACGUAAUGAGGGUAAGAAAGGAAGGGGUCUCCAGAGAGAUGUAAUGGCUAUUUCUAAGCCAUUUUUAAAAUAAGCUUCAGAUGAUCAAAAGUUCGAGGUCAGAGGAUAAUUUAGGCCAUCAGAAGUUGGCCAGAUUGGAGUUAGGUCCUCUAGAGAAUUCUGUCCUUUGGCAGUCAAAGACAGUGAUGGACGCCAAGCCAGGCCUGUGAUUUGGGCACAGGUCCAGGCUCUAGCCCCCUCUGGAGCCGGGCUCGGAUCUUCACAAGGAGCUCUGCAGCAAGCAGGGUCUGUGCUUGAACAUACGCUUUUAAUCAGAGUCGCUGGAACCUGGAUGGGGCCUCAAACAUAAUUUAAUUCAGUCCUCUCACUUUGCAGAUGUAGAAAUUGAAGGCCAGAUUGAAGGGUGGGCUAUGGAAUGCUUGCACAAGGUCAUCUGUCAAUUUAGGGAACAGCAUGGUAAGGUGAAAAGGGAUCGCUUUGGUGUCAUUGCUGGGUUCCAAAUCCCCGCUCUGCCGCGUAUUAGCUAAGAGACCCCAGUGUUUGAGAUCCCUCAUCUUGCUCCGACUGUUGCAGCCUUUUCUCGCCAUGACAGACUGCCAUACUACAUGGCCUUCUCCCAUCGAAAGGGUCUAGCAUGUGGACCACUGAACUGCCAAGGAAGCAGUCCAACUGCCCUGAGGCUGCCAUGCUGUGAGGAAACCCAAAGUGGUCCAUAAAGAAGGAUUAUGUGGAGGGACCCUGAAAGAUGCCUGGCCUGCCUCCCACUGCUCCAGUACCCUCCUCCCCAACUCUUCCAGCUUCAGCCACUGUCUGCAACCACAUGAGAGCUCCCGAGCCAUAAAUGCCCAGCCUAGUCUCCCCUAAGUUUCUAACCCACAGUUUAAACUACUAAGCUUGGGUUGCUUUGUUAUGCCUCAAUAGCAACUGGGACAUGCCCCUUUCUCCAUUCUGCUGCUGAAUCUGGUUACAGCAGCAGAGACACAUGCCAGGGGCAUCUCUAGUAACAGGGGAAAGCCCUUUGGGAGUAGAUUCAAAGUGGGGGGUCAAGACAAAUUAUUCAGCGAGCCUGACUUUUAGAACUCAAGGGGCACCAAGUAAGUGCAUGAUCCUGAGGCAAUCAAUUCCUCUCGUUUUCCUUUUUUUGUAAAGGGAUGAACUAGACACAGUGUGGAAAGCCAGCUUUACCACAUUCUCCUACGAUCUUCUGAAGUUACCUAAUCUCUCUAACCCCAGAUUCCUCUUCUGUAAAAUGGGGAUAAUAGCCACAAAAAUAGAACAGUAGUGUAAAAUUAGAUAGUAUGUGUGGAAAAGUAGAGUCUUGAAACUUGACUUAAGUGGUUGAUGAAUGUUAGCCCCCUCCACCAAUGCCUUCCCCUUGCAUUCUAAUAUUCUCUGCUCCUCUGAGCAAAUUUACCAGAUGAUUGUUGGAGUUUUUUGUAAUCCUCAUCAAGUCAGAGAAGACUAGUGAGGUUGUGGCAAAUAAAUGAUUCUGAGGGUCCAGGGCGAGCUUUAGGUAAAUUGUGGUUUUAGUGUUUGAGAAAGAGCCUGUCACUAGUGGGAGUCUUCAUUAUUCACUGGCAAGAUAUAACAAGCAGGGCUUUGCAGUAAUGCACAGCUCCUCUGCUCUUGGCAAUCUUGUGGCCGAAAGAUAUUUUUAAAGCCCCUGUUUUCAGAUGACCGUGUUUCUGAUUAGCAUGUGUCUUUUCCAUUUUCAGUUCCACGAAGAGAAAGGCAAGUGAAAUUUGCCCAGCCUCACCAUCUCCAAAUGGGUGAUAUUACUGAACAAUUAUUUAAUGGCCCCACAGCAUCUGUUUUUUAUAUUUUGGGGUCCAUACUGGAAGUUCAAGCUUAUGAAUAAUCCAGAUAUUUAAAAGCCAAUGCUCAACUGGAUAUUCUCCUUAGGAUUAUUUUAGCCUUGUCUAGAAUCAGAGUGUCUGUCAAUUGCCACAACAUAUAUAUUAAGUUUGAAAGAGAUUAAGCUGGAAAAUUCGAUAUUUUAAAAAUAAUACCAAGAGAGGCUGGGAGCAGAAAGAGAAGAAAAGAUAACUAUUGGGUACUGGGUGAUGAAAUAAUAUUUACAAUAAACCCCCAUGGCAAGUGUUUACCUAUGUAGCAAACCUUCACAUGCACCCCCAAACAUAAAAUAAAAGUUAAAGAAAGAAAAAAACAGAAACUCUUACUUAUAACUCAUUUCAUUUAAUAACGUUUUUACUCUUUUAAAAAUAAAAUAAUGCUAAUGAUGAUGAUAACAGGGUUCAUACCUGUAGAGCAUUUUACAAGUGGCAGAGAGCUUUCAUUGAUAUCAUUUCUCUUAAGUCUUCACCCUGUGAGGUAGGCAUAGAAAGAAAUUUUAUCCCCAAAUGACAGAUGAAAAAAUAGAGAGCCCAUGAGUUUAACUGACUUGCUCAAAGCCACAAAGGCUGCAUUUCCUGAGCCUGAGUACCCCUAGGAAGAGCUCCAGCCAAUCUAGGGUGCAGAACCAAUGAGUUAGUUUAUCAUUUAUCAAUCCCAGUGAUGCAUAAGCUGUGCAGAAUUAGAAAGGUCAGCUCCAGGCUGGCCCACCAAAAAAGUAGAGGAAAACUUGGGAAUGCCCACUAGCCUAUUCAGAAGUUGGAUUCAGGUUGGGAGAAAGAAAAUAGGAGCCGAAUUAUUUUGAGGUGGUAUACACGAGUUACCUAUUGCCAUUGUAACAAAGCCAGCACAAACUUGGUGGCUUACAAUGACAUAAAUUUAUCCUUUUACAGUUCUGGAAACCAAAAAUCCAACAUUAAUUUCUCUGGGCUUUCAAAUCAAGCUGCCAGCAGGGAGAGUUCCUUCUGGAGGCUGUAGGGGAGAAUGUAUUUCCUUGCCUUUUUCAGCUUCCAGAGAUUCUCAUAUUCUUUGACUUGUGGCCCCUUCCUCCAUCUUCAAUGCAUAUAAUCUCUGUUUCCAUUGUCACACAACUCUCCUCCUACACCUUACAAUGGACCCAUCUGGAUGACAUGGGAUAAUCUCUGCACUUCAUGACCCCUAACUUAAUCACAUCUGCAAAGUCCCUUUAACAUGUAGGAGAACAUAGUCCCAGGUUCCAGGAAUUAGGACAUGGGCAUCUUUGGGACCAUCAUUCAGUCUACCAUAGGUGACAAGGUGACAGGCGGAUGGUGGCCACCGUUUUUUUUUGCAUGGUUGUGUUUGCCUGUCUGAAAGCCACACUCCUCACUGCCACCUGACAUGUAGAGGCCAAAAUAGAAAACACAUCUUCAGAUCCCAAGUAAAGUGCUCUUUCAGGCACGUCACACCUGCCAUCUCAAACUAUAUUUACAUUCAUUUUUGCAAAUAGCCCAUUCUUGUAUAGAAGGCAAUUAAUAUUUGCAUAAUGUUUUAGAGUUUAUAAUGGCCUUUUUAUUUACAUGAAGUCACUUAAACCCCUACAAUAGCCCUCUGAGACAGUUAUUAUUAACACAUUUUUACAUAUGAAGAAGCUAAGGCUCAGCGGGGUGAAGUGGUUUGUCUAAGGUCACCCAGCUGGUAAGGGCAAGACCACAAUGCAAAUCCCAAAAGUUCCACUAUAUUCCGCUCUAAAUAAUGAGUCUAUACUGAAGUCCACUUACUAGCCAUGGUGGCUUAUCUUUUGGGGAUACUCUGAAGGUGAAUGGGGUCUCCAUUGCGCUUUUGAGAUAAAAUGAGUCAAUAAAUGUGAAAGUCCUUUGUAGCAGUAUGACUCACUAUGACAGAAAGUUAUUGAUAGCAUUAUCAUCAUCACCACCAACAUCCUCUGCCCUGGAGACCAAGAGAAUUCAAACAGGUGUGGUUGGUGGGAGCAAUGCCCUGGAUGGAUAAGCCAAGCUCUUGUGUCCUGGCAGAUAAACAAGGUGAACCCUCAAUCCGUGUAGCAGGAGUUUCCAGACAAACUCACUUUGCAUGGAAGGACACUAACCCUUCCAGAUGUGUCUAAUUUUGUGGAAAGGAGAAGGUUGGGAGCUCCGGAGCUAAUAGGAUGCACAGGAGGAAGAUACGGAGCACAGUGGCUGAGACCUGACAGCUCUCUGAAGACUCCACUUCACCGCCGCCACUCCACUUCACCGCCGCCAGCCCUGGCCCACACCUUUCUUAAGAGCAACUUAAGAAAUUUGCAACUUCAAAACCAGACCAGAGGGUGAGAAGAACUAGCCAACCCAUCCUCCAAGUGUGACUGAGCGGUCAGGCUGCCCCCACCUCAUUUGAGUGAGACCGCCAAGAGCCUUCACGUGGGACCUAGACCACAGGAACACAAUUAGGAAGUACUCCCUGCCCCUCACAACGGCCAUCCUCACCAGGCAGCGGGGACAGAAGGGAGGCAGGUGCAUUCAAAUCGCGCUGGCCUGAAGAAGGGAAAUGAAGCGCUAAACUCAGCUCGGUCCCACAAUGAGUCAGAAUGGGGGCAGGGAGGAGCGCCCAAAGCCCUCUGGCCCUUCUCCUUGGGAACUAGUCCUGCACAUGGCCACCAGCCCUGGGAAUCACAGCAUUUGGCAUGGGUCUCAGUUCUUGUACUCCAUUGCUGUGGGACAAGAGACACUAAACUUCCAGGUUUUCUCUCAAUAGCUGGCUUCACCUGUAAACACAGUGGCAUAUUAGACAAGCUCUCUUCAUCUGAAAUGUGCCCACCCCCCCAACAAUCCCACCUUUGCCUGCUCAAACCUGACUCAUGCUUCAUGUUCAUAUUCAACUUCUUCCCUUGUGCUUCUAACUAAAUCUAGGAAUCUCCUUGUUCUUAGAACCACCUUUAUCCCUUCUCAGAUAUUUAUGUAUAUCAGUUUUUAAAUGAAAAUAAUUUCUCACCUAUUAAGCUGGGCACCCUGCUAAUCACUUUCACACUUGCUGUUUAAUUUGCUGUUUUGCUCCCUAAUAUUAGACAAAAACUCCUUGAAAACAGAGACUGUGUCUGACUCAUCGCUCCUUCCCCCACCAGGCACUAUCCUCUCAACAGUUACUGGAUUAAUAAUUUUUUAAAAAAUUUUAAAAAACUAUUUUAAAAAAAUAUAAAUUAGUAAAAACUGUGGCAUUAGCAUGAAAUGACUAAUAUGUUCAAGUUCCACUUGAGGAAGUUAGGGUGAUGUCAGUGAAAACCUGCCCUUAGAGGAUCCCUGCCUGCAUGAGGGACUCUGGGACUGCAAA